ACUUUUAAUAACGGAUUUUUUAGUUUUAGUAUUAAUAAAAAACGUAGCGAAAUACGAUAAGUAAUAUAAAUUAUAGAAUUUAGUAAAUUAUUAAAUUUUUAAACGUAUAUUGCGCUUAUUAGUAUUUUAGUAAGUAUACUUAUUCGAGCGUUAUUUUAACCCUUAAGUACUACUUAGUUUUAGGGCCCUACGGUAUACGUAGGCCCUUAAAAGUAGUAGCGGACCCUUUCGGAGCCUUUUUUACGUAGUAAUUAAUAUUUCGUACUAGGAUUCGGAGGAACUCUUAUUAUAAAACCCCUAAAUUUUUUUAUAAGUUAACCUCGGAUUAAGUAAGAAUACCCGCUAAACUUAAGUAUAUUAAUAAGUAAAGGAAAAGAAAUUAAUAAAGAUUACCUUAAUAACGGCGAGUAAAGUAGUAAUAGUUUAAAUUUAAAAUCUAGCCCUAGGCCCGAGUUAUAAUUUAUAAAGGAUACUUUUAGCGCGGUGCCUUCUAAGUUCUCUAGAACGGGACGUUAUAAAAAGUAAGAGCUCUAUAUAAUUAGAUACUAAGCUUUUAUAAAGCUCUUUUAACGAGUUAAGUAGUUUAGGAAUACUAUUCUAAAUAGGAAAUAUAUUUUUUUUAAAACUAAAUAUUAGCUAGAGACCGAUAGUAUAUAAGUAGAAUAAUUAAAAAAUAAAAAGUAUUUUAAAAAGAGGGUUAAAUAGUACGUAAAAUUAUUAAAAAGGAAGCGCUUAUAACUAGACUUAUGUUUAGUAAAUUACUUAGCUCUCGNNNNNNNNNNAGCUAGGGUAUUUUACUAAUAUAAGCUAGUAUUAGCUUACUGUUAAGGAUAAAAGUUUUAAGAACGUAGCUCUUCUUAGGGAGUAUUAUAGCUUAUUAUAUAAUACUCUUUAGCGAGCUAAAGUAUAUGCUCUAUAAAAAUAUUAGUAUAAUAAUUAUUAAUAACCCGUUUUAAAAUACGGACUAAGGAGUUAAUUUUAUAUACGAGUAUUUAAAUAUUAAACCCCUAUACAUAAUAAAAGUAAACGUAAGUAAGAGCUUCGGCAUAUUAUUAACUAAUCUUAAUAUUCUUAAAUAGAUUUAAAUAAGAGUAUAUAGGGUUAGACCUAAAAAAAGGUAAAUUAUGCGUAUAUAGAGUAAAGCUAAAGGAAACUCUAAUAGAGGCUCGUAGUGGUUCUAAUAUAUAAAUUAAUUAUUAAAUAUGCGUAUAGGGGUAAAAGAUUAAUUAAACCUUUUAGUAACUAGUUUUUGCUAAAGUUUCUUUUAGGAUAGUAAUAUUAAGCUUAGUUUUAUAAAGUAAAGCGAAUGAUUAGGGACUUGGGGGCUAUUUUUUAUUUUUAUCUAUUUUUAAACUUUAAAUAUAUAAGAAGCCUUUGUUACUUAGUUAAACGUAGGUAUUUGAAUAUAUUAAUAUUAGUAAGUUAUUUUUAGUAAGUAGAACUAGCGAUGCGGGAUAAACUAAACGCGAGGUUAAGGUACUAGAGUAGUUAUUUAUUAGAUAUUAUAAAAGGUAUUAGUAUAUUUUAAUAAUAGGACGGUAAUUAUAGAAGUCGGAAUUCGCUAAGGACUAUAUAAUAACUUAUUUACUAAAUAUAUUAGUUUUGAAAAUAGAUAGUACUUAAGUAACUUACUUAUACCUCGCCCUUAGUAUAAAAAUAAUGCGCUAAAGAGUAGGUAGACGUAGAGGUUAGUAAUAAAGCUUAGGGCGUAAGCCCGGGUAGAACGGUUUUUAAUAUAGAUUUUAAUAGUAAUAAUAAAUACUUUAAUAAGAACUUAAAGGACCGAAGUAGGAAAAGGUUUUAUAUAAAUAGCGGUUAGAUAUGGGUUAGUUAAUCUUAAAUUAUAGGGAAGUUUUAUUUUAAAGGGGUACUUAUACCCCGUAUAGUAAAAGGGAAGCUGGUUAAUAUUCUAGUACUUAGAUAUAGGUUUUAUAUAAUAACGUAACUAAACGCAGAGAUAAUAGCGGGGGCCCUAGGUAGAGUUUUUUUUUUUUUUUAAUAGUUUAUUAUNNNNNNNNNNGUUUAUCUAGAACUAGGGUUUAACGGCUAGAAGAGCCUAGUAUUUCUAUUAGGUCUAGUAUGCUCUUAACGUUUUUUAAAAAUCCGCGAGAAGGAAUAAUUCUUAUACUAGGUCGUAUUUAUAACUAUAGUAGGUUUUUAAAAUAAAUAGCUUCUAGUUAAUAGAAUAAUAUAGAUAAGGGAAGUUAGUAAAAUAGAUUUAUAAUUUUAGGAUAAGGAUUAGCUCUAAGGGUUAGGUACGUUAGGCUUUGGGCGGACGGCUUAGGAGUAGGUCGUUACUAGCUAGGUAACCGGCCGGAGGCUUUUAGUACUUAGGUUUUAACGCCCUUAGUAAGCUUUAGUUAUCCGGCGUACGGUUAAUAAUUAACUUAGAACUAAUAUGGAUAAAGGGAAUCUAACUAUUUAAUUAAAAUAUAAUAUUACGAUAGCUAGAAAGUAGUAUUAACGUAAUAUAAUUUUUACCUAGUACUCUAAAUAUUAAAAUAAAGGAAUUUAACUAAGCGUAGGUAAAUAGCGGGAGUAAUUAUAACUCUUUUAAAAUAACUAAAUACCUCGUUAUUUAAUUAGUAAUACGUAUAAAUAGAUUAAUAAGAUUCUUAUUAUCCUUAUUUAUUAUUUAGCAAAACUAUAGCUAAGGGAACGGGCUUAGUAAAAUUAGUAGGGAAAGAAGACCUUGUUAAGUUUAACUUUAGUUUAAUAUUAUAAAAAGAUAUAAGGGGUAUAGGAUAGGUAGGAGCUUCGGCGCUAGUGAAAUAUUACUACCCUUAUUAUUUUUUUAUUUAUUUAAUAAAGCNNNNNNNNNNCUUCUAGUUUUAAGGUCUUUUGCGGGCCGACCCGGGUUAAAAAUAUUAUUAGGUAGGGAGUUUAGCUAGGGCGGUAUAUUUAUUAAAUUAUAACGUAGGUAUUUUAAGGGGGGCUUAUAGAGAAUAGAAAUCUCUAGUAAAAUAAAAAGGUAAAAGUCCCCUUAAUUUUAAUUUUUAGUAUGAAUAUAAACUAUAAAAGUAUGGCCUAUUAAUCUUUUAGUUCUUCGAAAUUUAAGGCUAGAGGUACUAGAAAAGUUAUUAUAAGGAUAACUAGCUUAUAGCGGCUAAGCGUUUAUAAUAACGUCGCUUUUUAAUCUUUUGAUAUCGGUUCUUUUUAUUAUAUUAAAAUAGAAUUUAAUAAGCAUUAGAUUAUUUACUUAUUAAUAAGGAACGUGAGCUAGGUUUAGACUAUUAUAAGAUAAGUUAGUUUUAUUUUACUAAUAACCUCGUCGUAAUAGUAAUUAAGCUUAGUACGAGAAGAACUACUUAUUUAGAUAAUUAGUUUUUAUAGCUAUCUAAUUAGGUAGUACUAUAAUAUUAUUAUUUACUAAAUAAUAGCUAAACGCUUCUAAGUUAAAAUCUAUAUUAAAACGCAAUAAUACUUCCCGUAUAUAUAAAUAGAUAUAAAUAGGCUCUAGCUUAGCGUCUUAGUAAGCAAUUCUUUUACUACUCUUAAAGCGAGUAAUAGUAUUUUACGAAUUAUAAUUUU
rnacentral:rRNA from 1 species